AUUAAUAAUGAUUCCUAUCAAAUAUGAACUUAAAAAUAUCUUCUAAUUAAUUACAAUUUAGUAAUUUUUUCAUCCAAAAAUUUAUAAUAAUUUUAUUAUUUUGUUAAUAUUUUUUAUAACUAUCUGACUUGAGUUGAAUAUUAACAAUUUAAACAUUUAUAAUAAAAAAUAAAAAAUAUUAAAAUAUUAUAAAUUAUAGAGUAAACUUCAAAUAUCACUCCUGUUGUUUCGCUUCAUUUCAUUUGAAUAGUCUGUGGUUUAAAGUGUAUCAAUUUAGUACCCUAUGAUUUUAUUUUUUUCUUUUCGUUAGUUCCCCCGUUAAUUUUUCGUUAAAUCAUAUAAAAAAAGCUUCAGAUACCCGACCUAUAGUUUAUCGAAUAUUCAUUUUAGUAUACUUUAGUACCCUUUAGUUUUAAUUUUAUUGUUGAUUUAAUGAAAAAUUAGUGAAAAGGAUAAAAAAAAAGAGAAAAAUAAAAUAGUAAAAUAUAAACGUGAUAUAUUUUUUAAAUUAUAGAGUAUUAAAAUAAAAAAAUAUAAAAUUACAGCGGCGAUAUUUGAAAUUUUCCUACAUUGUA
rnacentral:lncRNA from 1 species